rnacentral:siRNA from 1 species
GCUAUCGUAGUUGCAGAGGGUAUC